CAGUCGCCACGGUAAUACGGAGGGAGCUAGCGUUGUUCGGAAUUACUGGGCGUAAAGCGCACGUAGGCGGCUAUUCAAGUCAGGGGUGAAAGCCCGGGGCUCAACCCCGGAACUGCCUUUGAAACUAGAUAGCUUGAAUCUUGGAGAGGCGAGUGGAAUUCCGAGUGUAGAGGUGAAAUUCGUAGAUAUUCGGAAGAACACCAGUGGCGAAGGCGACUCGCUGGACAAGUAUUGACGCUGAGGUGCGAAAGCGUGGGGAGCAAACAGGAUUAGAUACCCCCGUAGUCCCUGUCUCUUAUAC
rnacentral:rRNA from 1 species